rnacentral:rRNA from 1 species
AUUGAACGCUGGCGGCAUGCUUUACACAUGCAAGUCGAACGGUAACAGGCCUUCGGGUGCUGACGAGUGGCGAACGGGUGAGUAGUGCAUCGGAACGUACCCAGAGGUGGGGGAUAACGCAGCGAAAGCUGUGCUAAUACCGCAUGUGAUCUGAGGAUGAAAGCGGGGGACCGAGCAGCAAUGUUUGGCCUCGCGCCUUUGGAGCGGCCGAUGUCGGAUUAGCUAGUUGGGGGGGUAAAGGCCUACCAAGGCGACGAUCCGUAGCUGGUCUGAGAGGACGACCGGCCACACUGGGACUGGGACACGGCCCAGACUCCUACGGGAGGCAGCAGUGGGGAAUGUUGGACAAUGGGCGCAAGCCUGAUCCAGCAAUGCCGCGUGCGGGAAGAAGGCCUUCGGGUUGUAAACCGCUUUUGGCAGGAACGAAACGGUGUCCGCUAAUACCGGGCGCUAAUGACGGUACCUGCAGAAGAAGCACCGGCUAACUACGUG